GCAGAGUCCGAAUUUACACUAAUCAAGACAGACCUUCGAGGGGUCAUAAGUCCGGAACUUUCAAACCUUGCUUCGUAUGAAUCGUACUAUCUGAACAUAAACUGCACUUUUAUUUUCUAAUACCGAGGGUGAAUACGGUAAAUCCAUGCCUUGAGGGUAGAAGCCGACAUUCUGUUUGGCACACGUUAUUAUCUGCUUAUUUUCCAGGAUACACAUUUCCCUGAGAACCCACGGCAGAGAUGUGAGGGCAGAAUGUAUGGAAACACAUGCUGAGGAGGGGAAGGAGGAGGGGAGUGCUUUAAAGAUACAAAAAAAAAAAAAAAAAAAAAAAGAGCAAACAAUUUUAACUUCAUGAAUUUGUUUGAAUUUUCCCAAGCUUCAGAUAACAACGCCACUCACGGGACUAGGACGCUGCAAGAGCAUUGGGCUCUGUGUAGCAUUAGCUGAUAAAUGGGUGUAUAGCCAUCACCAGACCUGGAAAUGCCCCCUUUUGGUGGGGGUGGGGGUGUUUCUUGGUCUCUCUUUCGUUCCUAUGAAAUUUCCACUAAGAGGUGCAAGAGUUAUAUCAAAGGAAAGGGAACUGAAAUAUGGAUCUACACAAUGGCCUGAACCACUAUACCCAUCCUUUGCCAUUUACUGAAAACAUAAUUUUGGCUUUUACAUGGCCAGAAAAACAAACUCAGUUUUCAUAGUUUAAAAAAAAAACAAAAACAAACAAAAAAAUUGAAAACAAAAACCUCAUUUGAGGGGAGUCAGCAGUGAUCGUGGGGAAAUGUUUACAUUUUUUCCUUCAGAAAUACCACUUUCUGAUGAUUUUAUCUGAUAUUUAAAACAGGGAGCUAUGGUGCACUCUAGUUUACCCGUGUGUUGCACAUGGUGUGUAAACUCGGGGUUCCCACCUGCGGCGAGCUCCACAUUUCACCCAGCGCAUGCUCACCCCCAUCUCAGCGUGGGUGCUCCUGCAGUGGGCACAGGGCACAGCUGACUCUGACUUCCAAGACGACAGCCAUCACUCGCGCAGUGUUUUCUGUUUAACCAAUGUAGUUGCAUCAGUAGUUCUCUCAGAACUGCUUUUAACAUCAGGGACUGGGAGCAGUCCAUGAGCUAAAAAGGAAAGUGUUUUCUCACGAGAAAACAUGUCAGGAAAAAUAAAGAACACUUUCUACCUCUGUUUCAGAUUUUGAAACGCUUAUUUUAAACCAAAUUUUAAUUUCUGUGUCCAAAAUAAGUUUUAAGGACAUCUGUUCUUCCAUAUGAAAUAGGUUAGGCUGCCUAUUUCUCCCGAGCUCAUGGGAAGGCUGUGCAUAGGGUACUCCGAGCGCUGCCUUUUAGUGAGUGAGGAGUUUGGGAUUGCCUAGCAACUUGCUAACUUGUAUAAACUCAGCUUUCCCUCACAGAAAGAAAUGAAGGAAAACCAAGUCAGUGAAAGACAAUCUUUAUUGUUUCAGGAGUAAAUCUGUAUGUGGCUUUUGUCAAACACUUAAAUGGAUAUAAAUGGAUAUAAACACAGCAACUUGUUUUAAAAGAUGCACAAUUUACUUCCCGGAAGAGUUGCUACUUGCCUUUUCAAGUUGUUGACAGACACACAUUUGAUAUUCUCUUAGAUGUUAUAGCAACGUAACGUAUAAACUCAAGGCUUUUUAUUCUCUGUGAUAAGUCCUGUUUCACGACGUCACGAAACAGGAACCAGCAUUCUAAUUAGAUUUACUACAUGGAGCUAUGGUUCAAAUAGGACUACUAGAGUUCAUUGAACACUAAAACUAUGAAACAAUUACUUUUUAUAUUAAAAAGACCAUGGAUUUAACUUAUAAAAAUCCAAAUGCAGGAUAGUAAUUUUUGUUUACUUUUUUAACCAAACUGAAUUUUUUGAAAGACUAUCGCAGGUGUUCAAAAAGAAAGAAGCCGUUUUAUCUAAUACUGUAAGUAGAUGUCAUUCAUGGAAAAUAUACUAGUUUUAGAGUUAAGAUAUCUCCUCUCCUUGGUUAGGGAAGAAGAAAGCCCUUCACCAUUGUGGAAUGACACCCUGGCUUUAAGCUCCACAUCACGCUUCUUUUGAGAAUUAUAUUUGGUAGUUACAAUUACAGAAACCAAUUAGUUUGUCAGUUUGCAGAUAGAUUUAGCACAGUACUCAUCACUCUGAGUAGAUAAGCUGUUCUUUCACAGCGGAUGAAUGGUCUGUAACACUGUAAGAUACUGAUCUUUACAACUGUUUAAUCAGUUUUAUUUUUGUACAGUAUUAGUGACCUAAGUUAUUUUGCUGUCCCGUUUUUUGUAAAUCAAAUGAAAUUAUAAAAGAGGAUUCUGACCGUAGGUAUUUUGUACAUAUGUAUAUAUGUUGUCCAAAUAAAAAUAAUAAAUGAUAAAGAUUAAAUUG
rnacentral:lncRNA from 1 species